rnacentral:rRNA from 1 species
UACGUAGGGGGCUAGCGUUGUCCGGAAUCAUUGGGCGUAAAGCGCGUGUAGGCGGUUCGGUAAGUCCGCUGUGAAAGUCGGGGGCUCAACCCUCGGAUGCCGGUGGAUACUGUCGGGCUUGAGUACGGAAGAGGCGAGUGGAAUUCCUGGUGUAGCGGUGAAAUGCGCAGAUAUCAGGAGGAACACCAGUUGCGAAGGCAGGCUCGCUGGGACGUACUGACGCUGGAGAACGCGGAAGCGUAGGG